rnacentral:rRNA from 1 species
AUUGAACGCUGGCGGCAGGCCUAACACAUGCAAGUCGAGCGGAGCGGCGGACGGGUGAGUAAUGCCUAGGAAUCUGCCUGGUAGUGGGGGAUAACGUCCGUAAACGGGCGCUAAUCCCGCAUACUAGAAGAUGCGCCUUGGUCGGAUUCGCUAUUUGGUGGGGUAAAGGCCUACCAAGGCGCAGAUCCAUAACUGGUCUGAUAGGAUGACCAGUCACACUGGAACUGUGACACGGUCCAGACUCCUACGGAGGGCAGCAGUGGGGAAUAUUGGACAAUGGGCGAAAGCCGGAUCCAGCAAUGCCGCGUGUGGGAAGAAGGUUUUCGGAUUGUAAAGUACUUUAAGAUGGGAGGCGUUAACAACAGAAUAAGCACCGGCUAACUUCGUGCCAGCAGCCGCGGUAAUUC